rnacentral:rRNA from 1 species
AUUGAACGCUGGCGGCAGGCUUAACACAUGCAAGUCGAGCGGAGCGAGGGUGCUUGCACCUUAGCUUAGCGGCGGACGGGUGAGUAAUGCUUAGGAAUCUGCCUGUUAGUGGGGGAUAACGCGGGGAAACUCGCGCUAAUACCGCAUACGUCCUACGGGAGAAAGCGGGGGCUCUUCGGACCUCGCGCUAACAGAUGAGCCUAGGUCGGAUUAGCUAGUUGGUGGGGUAAUGGCUCACCAAGGGGACGAUCCGUAACUGGUCGGAGAGGAUGAUCAGUCACACUGGAACUGAGACACGGUCCAGACUCCUACGGGAGGCAGCAGUGGGGAAUAUUGGACAAUGGGCGAAAGCCUGAUCCAGCCAUGCCGCGUGUGUGAAGAAGGUCUUCGGAUUGUAAAGCACUUUAAGUCGGGAGGAAGGGCUGUAGGUUAAUACCCUGCGGUUUUGACGUUACCGACAGAAUAAGCACCGGCUAACUUCGUGCCAGCAGCCGCAGUAAGAC